GAGUUCAAUAGUACGUGAAACCGUUCGGGGGUAAACGGACAGAGCCCGUGAAUCUGGGCGGCGGAAUUCAGGAUGGUCGUGUUCGCGCGCGGCCGUUUGAUAUUUCCGUCGCCGUGUCGGACGUCGCGACCUGUUCGCCAGUCGGUCCCUGCUCGGAGGAAUCGCGAUCGAGCUCGUUGCGCGGUACGUUUCGGCGUGUCGCGCGGCGAAGACGCGACUCUCUGGCUGACGGCGGACAGUAAGCAACGGUGUCCGGCGUCGUGUCUCGCACUCGACGUCCGGUGCCGGUCUGCGACGAUUUCUUCGGGCCUCUUUCCGACCCGUCUUGAAACACGGACCAAG
rnacentral:rRNA from 1 species